UACAGAGGUCUCAAGCGUUGUUCGGAUUCAUUGGGCGUAAAGGGUGCGUAGGCGGCGUGGUAAGUCGGGUGUGAAAUCUCGGAGCUUAACUCCGAAACUGCAUUCGAUACUGCCGUGCUUGAGGACUGGAGAGGAGACUGGAAUUUACGGUGUAGCGGUGAAAUGCGUAGAUAUCGUAAGGAAGACCAGUGGCGAAGGCGGCAUCCUGGACCGACACUGACGCUGAGGAGCGAAAGCCAGGGGAGCAAACGGG
rnacentral:rRNA from 1 species